UAGUCAUAUGCUUGUCUCAAAGAUUAAGCCAUGCAUGUCUAAGUAUAAGCAAUUAUACAGCGAAACUGCGAAUGGCUCAUUAUAUAAGUUAUCGUUUAUUUGAUAGUGCCUUACUACUUGGAUAACCGUGGUAAUUCUAGAGCUAAUACAUGCUGAAAAUCCCGACUUCGGAAGGGAUGUAUUUAUUAGAUUAAAAACCAAUGCCCCCUGGGCUCUCUGGUGAUUCAUGAUAACUGCUCGAAUCGCAUGGCCUUGCGCCGGCGAUGGCUCAUUCAAAUUUCUUCCCUAUCAACUUUCGAUGUUUGGGUAGUGGCCAAACAUGGUUGCAACGGGUAACGGGGAAUUGGGGUUCGAUUCCGGAGAGGGAGCCUGAGAAAUGGCUACCACUUCUAAGGAAGGCAGCAGGCGCGCAAAUUACCCAAUCCCGACACGGGGAGGUAGUGACAAUAAAUAACAAUACAGGCGCUCGAUAAGAGUCUUGUAAUUGGAAUGAGUACAAUUUAAACCCCNUUAACGAGUAACAAUU
rnacentral:rRNA from 1 species